rnacentral:ribozyme from 13 species
AUAGAGUCAAGAAUAAAAAUAUGUCCUCUCUUACAUGUUUCUGUUUCAAUUUUUUUAUUUCUCUUUUCUUUCUCUUUCUCCCCCUUUCCUUGGUCUUGAUUAUCUUUAUAUCAUAUAGGCAGAUCAUAGAGUAAUAUGAUCAUCAAAAGAA